rfam:Enterococcus avium ATCC 14025 genomic scaffold acpMO-supercont1.2, whole genome shotgun sequence.
AAUAUGAUUUGUUAGGUGAGGCUCCUAUACAAACACAGGCUACUGCCCAAAAAUGUCGAGAGACGCCAAUGGGUAGAACAGGAAUUGUCGAAUACAAGGCUUUUCUUAAGGUAGCUAAGAUGUUUGUCUUUACGUUGUAUAGUGCCAAAACUCAACGAUUAGAUCGAUAA